rfam:Schistosoma haematobium scaffold462_13, whole genome shotgun sequence.
UCACUGCUGAGGAGUUCCAAAAUAGGACGAAACGGCCGUCCAGUGC